GAGGCCACAGGCUCGCUUCUCUCUGUCGAUGUCAUCCUGGACCAAGCCCGGGGGGCCGCGUUAUCACAAAUUACAUCUCCCUGGGCUGGCAUUAUCGUCUGAUUUCGAGCAAAUUACAGAAUUAAGGGGCGGGGGUGGCUGUGUCUGUUCUAUAUUUGGCACUAGCUUAUCAGCAGAGCUGCGAGAGCCUUCUGGAUUGUGCUCAAAAACCUGAUGAAGGUCGUUGGGCCAGAAUGUCACAUGCUCCCCGGACGGCCAAGGGUCUCCCAGGCGGGAGGCAGAGGCCGAGGGAGGGUCAGCCUGAGAUGCUUGCACUCCUGGCCCCCAGUUCAUGUCAACCCAGAUAACGCAGCCACGGCUGGGGUGGGGGGUGGCAACUGGCAGAUGCUGUGCCGCCAGAAGGUGUUGCUGGCACCUCCGAUGGGGACCAGAUUACGCCCAGCAUCCAGGGAGAUUGGGAAACGUGCCUGAGAGGAACCAAGGAGGGUUGAAACAGCAGGGAGGGAAGCCCUGAGGCAUUCAGUUAUCUCAGAACGAAGCCAGUGUGAGGAGAGCAGAACUAGGAAAUGGAACAGGAAAGACUGAACCCUGGAUCCAGCUGCACCUGAAGCUCAUCUCCUGCACUCUUCUGAUAACAUAAGCAAAAAAAAAUCCCUUUGAGCUGUUUCUGUAAUCUGCCACCCAAAGAACUGAAUAAUUAUCUUCAGUCCUACACUCCAGCCCCACCAGCCUGGUUGCAAGUUCUCAGAACAGAUCAGACAGCCCCCACUUCCAGAUUGUUCCUCAAGCCAUAACCUCUGCCAGGAAUGCCAUCCCCACCUCAUGCCUCCUGUUGAAACCCUUCUCUACCCUCCAUUCAAAUGACAUCUACUUCAAGGAGCAUCCUCAUGUGAUAGUCACAUCACUUCCUCAUCACUCCCACACAGACUGAGCCGACUUUGCUUAUGGGCCCAGGUGGUGGUGCUGGGUCAGCACCCUUUUUGUGUGCAUUUGACCCUCUGGGCUGAGCCCAGCACCGUGCUGGGAGCAGGGUCUCAUUUCCCCUUGAGGUGGUAUCUUUGUUGUCUCCAUGCCACAGGGCAGCCUUGACUCAGAGAGGCUGAGAGCCGGGCUCCGGGUCCGAGGGGGGGUGGUCAGGCCCCAGAGCACCAGCCCUGGCCCGCUGUGCUGUGCUGGCCCCUGACUUGUUCACCUAUGGGGGUCUUUGUCCCCCUCUUACUGCGGGGGCCAGUGGGGACGAUGUCAGGGUACAGGAUGAAAGCUCCAGGGUCACUCUGCCUGGGUUCAGAUUCCGGCUGCACUCCCCAGCAGCUGUGUGACCUCAGGCAAGAACUCCUCUGGGGUCCACCUGUCUGUUUUUGUAUUAUUGUGGUAAAACACCCCUCUCACGAAAUGCACCAUCUUGACCAUUUGUAAGUGUCCAGUUCAGCGGCACUAAGUACACUGACAAUGUCGUGCGGCGGUCAUACCAUCCUUCCUCAGAACGCUUUCCUCUUACAAAGUUUACACUCAGUCCCCUUUAAACAAGACCCCCACCACCUCCUCCCCCAGCCCCCGGCCACCACCGUUCCACUCUCUGUCUCCGUGAGUUUAACUCCUCGAGAGGCUUCAUGUGAGUGGCAUCGUGCAAAGUUCGUCCUUUUGUGACUGGCUUAUUUCACUGCAUAUGGGGUCCUCAGAGUUCAUGCAUGUUGUGGCAGGUGUCAGAAUGUCCUUCCUUUUCCAGGCUGAAUAAUAUUCCACGGUCUGUACCCUACCUCAUCUUUCAACCGAGGCGAGAAUCUACCUCCACAGUAGGUAUCAGCCGUUGGUACAGGCCUCACGGCCAGCCCCGGGCCUCUGUAGUGGGGUGGGCAGGGACGAGGAGGCGGGCACCCUCUGCUGACCAUGCAGGUCCAUGCUGAAGCUCGCCGUCUCCACCCUCUGCCCUCUCGAGUGAUUGCCCACCUGGGAGAAAAAGAGAGGGAAGCGUUGGCAAUGUGUCCCCAAAUUCUCCGCCCGCCGUGAGAGAUGGGGGGCCCUGCAGUGAGAGAGCCUUCUCGACUCCAGCUCUCUCCUGUCUGGGGAGCACCCACUCUGAGCCAGGAGCUGUGCUGCGAGCCAUCACCCCCGCUCGCCAGCUCUCAUCCCAGCUGCCAAGCGAGUGCCAAUCAGUGGGAUGGCAGAGCACGCAAGCGGGAGAGAAAAGUGCCAACCUGAAAGCCCUUGGCUGAGCCCCCAGGGAAAAGGGGAUGCUGCAACUCGCCCCAGGGAUCCGCGAGGUGUCAGCGCUGUGGAGAAGGGAAAUGAAAUGCUCGGUGCCCGUUCAGGGGAGCUGCCGUGAAACCCCAGGAGGAGGGAACGCCGCCAACGGUGCUUCGGGCCCCAGCACGGCGUCACAGAGCGCUGCUUCUGGACGGCGCUGCCCCUCUGGGUUCUGAACCCCCCUGGGCAGCUGUGUGGGCUGAGCCAGGCCCAGGGCUGGGCACCCUGGAGGGGUGAGGAAGGAGAAGAGAGAGGGAGGUACCCUACACACCACCCUGAGCCUGUUGGCUGUGCUUGGGUUUACCAGGUGCCGCACGCUGGAUUCCCAUGAGAUUCUGCAGCCCGAGGACCUUCCAGAACAUUCUUUUCCUCCUUCAAAACUUCUGAGAUUAGAAUCUAAGUGAUUGCUGCCCAAACCCAGUUAGGAGGUGGGGCCGGUGAGGGACCGGCAGAUUCGGGGAGCUAUCGGGGUGAGAGGACGUCCCAGUGCUGCUUAAACGAGGACAAUGAUGGGGCUGGGGAGCUCCUGUCAAAAUGGCCCCCACGUAAAGGAACACGUCACCUACUGCCCUGGAAGAUGGGACUAUUGUCCCAGCUCUCGCUCCCUCCAGGUCCUGGAAUUCUACCUCCGCACCCUGGCCGUGUGACUGGGCCGUACCCUGCCCCACCCAGCUUGGGCCUGGCCUGCGACUCUCUUGGGGCAGCAGGAUGUGAGUGACGUGACGCGAGGUUUUAAAUGUGCUUGCGUCAUCCGGCUUAGUCCCCUGCGCUUCUGCCAUCAGCCAUGAGGAGACCCGCCCCAAGCAGCUACCAGUCCAAGGAGAGGGAGGAAGCCCUUGGAUCCCACCCGAACCCAACCCCCAGCCCGGGGCCACGGCUGAUCCAACCCAGCAGACGCAGAAGUGAGAAAGAUACACAUGAAUUCCUGCAGCCCACUGACUGCUGCUGCCUGGUCCUUGGCGUUUUGGCAGCGUCGCUGACUGCCACCCCACACGCGCAUAGACGUACCCAAACAGCGCACACGCAGGCUCAUCCACGUACACCCAUGUGUGUGUGCACAGGUCACAGACACAGCCGCCCCCACUUUCUGCGGUUUCGCUUUCCAUGGUUUCAGUUACCUGUGGUCAACCAUGGUCCAAAAACAUUACAUGGAAAAUUCUAGAAAUAAACAAG
ensembl:lncRNA